CUACGGGAGGCUCCAGUGGGGAAUAUUGGACAAUGGGGGAAACCCUGAUCCAGCAAUGCCGCGUGUGUGAAGAAGGCCUGCGGGUUGUAAAGCACUUUCGGUUGGGAGGACUGCUUCUAGCACUAAUAUUGUUGGAAGUUGACGUUACCUUCAGAAGAAGCACCGGCUAACUCCGUGCCAGCAGCCGCGGUAAUACGGAGGGGCAAGCGUUAAUCGGAAUUACUGGGCGUAGAGCGCGCGUAGGCGGCUAGAUCAGUCGGGUGUGAAAGCCCCGGGCUUAACCUGGGAACUGCAUCCGAUACUGUCUAGCUUGAGUACAGGAGAGGAGGGUGGAAUUCCACAUGUAGCGGUGAAAUGCGUAGAUAUGUGGAGGAACACCAAUGGCGAAGGCAGCUCUCUGGCCUGAUACUGACGCUGAGGUGCGAAAGCGUGGGGAGCAAACAGGAUUAGAUACCCUAGUAGUC
rnacentral:rRNA from 1 species